rnacentral:tmRNA from 6 species
GGGGAUGAUCGGCCUCGAGGAGGAAAAGUUUGAGCAGGCGCUCAGGCAGAGGACGAGAGUUAGCUCUUAAAAAUCUCUCAAUGUAGUAAGUGCAAACUUAUUCCAACCUUCUUACGCAGUUGCUUAAUUAAGUCUGUGUAAGCAUCCGUCCUUGAUUCUCGCUAGAGGGUCGCGGGUGUUAUAAGCGAGAAAAACCUUCAAAAGUUUUAAGCCUGUCAACCGCGGUUCAAAAUUUCUUCUGACGCGGGUUCAAUUCCCGCCAUCUCCACAA